CGUCUCUGCGUUUUUUUAUUUUGCAGCAGAGAAGAAAUCCCAGCAGAUGAGCAUGUAACGCAGGAAUUGGAGGAUGCCGUUCGCGUGGUCCUGGCCAAUCUGGACUCCCUGCAGCCCUUCGCCACAGAACACUUCAAUAUUUUUCCUUACAAGAGCCAGUGGGAGAGGGUGUCCAAGCUGACGUUCCUGCAGGGCAGCUCGGCGCUCCACGCCUACCCCUUCGUGUGCACUCUCUACG